rnacentral:rRNA from 1 species
CCCCUUAGAUGUCCUGGGCCGCACGCGCGCUACAAUGACACGUUCAACAAGUUCUAUCCUGGCCUGGAAAGGUGCGGGUAAUCUUUUUAGUACGUGUCGUGUUAGGGAUCGAUCUUUGGAAUUAUAGAUCUUGAACGAGGAAUUCCUAGUAAGUGCAAGUCAUCAGCUUGUACUGAUUACGUCCCUGCCCUUUGUACACACCGCCCGUCGCUCCUACCGAUUUCGAGUGACACGGUGAACCUUUUGGACUGCGACGGUCCCCGAGGCCGCUGCGGGAAGACAAGUAAACCUUAUCACUUAGAGGAAGGAGAAGUCGUAACA